AAUGUUAUUAUUCUAAAUAUGAAGGUGAAAGGGAAGACAGCCCAGAGGAGCCCAAAUUUUUGGACUGCCCUGAUGAUGUGACCGCCACUGAGGGAGAAACGGUUUCUCUCGAAUGGAAAGUGACUGGCACACCAGUUCCGAACGUCAUUUGGUUUAAGAAUGCUGAGAGGAUAGAGACAAAUUUACGAUUGGAUGUUUACAGCAACCAUAAAGGAACAUGCCGACUUAAAAUACACAGAGCGGAUGAACACGAUAGCGCUAUAUAUUCUUGCUAUUUAGAAAAUGAAAUUGGUUCUGCUGUAUCAACAGUUCUAAUUUCUGUCAAAGAAGACAAGUCUUCGUUACGAAAUAUUGAA